UUAGCUAGCCAGGAUAAUUCGAAUCAAAGAACUGAGAUCGAUUGGUGCAUAGAUAUCAAGGAGAUCCGAUCAUUUCAAUUCUAGCACCAUUCGAAAUCAGUGCUUUUGAUAAGAACCACUCAACAGAUAAAGUG
rnacentral:precursor_RNA from 15 species